UGGGGGAAAAUAUUAGUUGAAAAAGGAAAAAAAAAAACAACCAGGUCAGCAGGGUCACCCAGUUCUCUCUGUGGCGGGUGACGUACACAUAGUUGGUCCUUUGGCCAAACCUGCAUUAAACCAGUGGCCUCCUCCAGCUCCACGUCCAGAUGGAGACGGCGCUGGGGCUCGUCAGUCAGUGGUGUCAUUUCCUGUGAUGCUGGCGCUGGGAACUGGAGUUCAGAGUGUGAUCUUGAAUUUUUUUUUUUUUGGUACCAGGGAUCUAACUCAGGUCCUUGUGCUUGCAAAGGACUAAGCAAAAUCCCCGGUCCUUGAAUUUUGAUGUUGUUCCUCUUAGCGGGACUGGCCUGUGUGAAAACAGACCCACAACACAGGCUGCACUGUCGUCUCCAAUUCUGGCUUUUUCCAUAGAUUUCUUGUGUGGUUUGGUGGCACAGGCACUGGACUUAUGUCCAGGCUUCUUGGCUUGCACUCAGCAGGGUCGCAGCCCAGGCCUCUGUCUGGAGCUGGGCACAGGGCGGGGGCCAUCGGAAGCGGAGGUGGGGCUGCCAGGGUCUGAAAUGCAUCCAUUCCAAUGGCCCGAUUCACAUGGAGCUGUUCUUUCUCUUAGACAUCUGCGUGAUGCUGACCUCAUAGAAGAGAAAAAAGGGGCUUUGUGUAGGAAUUCCAUAGAGUGUGAAGGAAUUCUGAUGGGGUGGGGAGGGAAGCAGCCAUGGGAAGCCUGCUGCCUGCCUUUUCCCCAAACUCUUUAACCCUCGCACUUCAAAAUCAGCCUGGCCCUGGUGGACAGAGGCCCGUUUAAGGAACCCCCACCUUGUCCCAGCUUGAAUCAGGCUGCUGGGGUUCAUCCCUCAGACCCUCAGAGGCGCCCUCACUGCAGAUCCUUUGAAACUGGCAUUUCUGGGAAGAGGCCUGCAAAGGAAGGCAAUUACUUUACCAGUGACCUUCAGUUCUGAUCAGUCCAAGCUUCAAGGAGGAAUUUGAUGGCGACACUGAGGAAGAGAGAGAAACCAAGACCAGCCUGAGGGCUCAUCCACACCUGUGGCUGCUCCGAGGCUUCAGUCUCAUCACUCUCCCAGCUUCAGGCCAAGGUGUCCUGGCCUCUGGGCCUGGGCUGUGGGUGAAACAGUGCCAUCGUCGGUGGGCUGAGUAGACUCUAUUGUGGUAACCAGGGCUGCCUGUGUGCGGUGUGUGGGACAUCCAUUCACUCAACGAAUACCUCGGAGCUGGGCAUGGUGGCACACACCUGUCAUCCCAGCACUCUGGGAGGCUGAGGCGGAGGGCGGCAAGUUUGAGUCCAGCCUGGGCAACUUAGCAACUUACUAAGACCCAGCUGACACAAAGGUCCUCUGAUGGCCCUGCCCCUGGGCUUCUCAACAAAGGAAAGCCACAGCAGGGGGAUGGUGCCGAACGGCCUGUGACCACAUCUGUAUCCUCAGCGCCCAGCACUGUGCCUGGCACAUAGUAGGAAGCCAGUUAAUUAUCUGAAACUGUUUGAGCAGUGGCUUGAUGAUAAUGACACUCAAAAGUUUCAGAUUUUGGAGCAUUUGAGAUUUUCAGAUUUUCAAAGUCAGUGCAAAUAUUCCAAACUCCGAGUGGCUCUGAAAUCCAAAACACUUUUGGUCCUAAGCAUUUCAGGUAAGGGAUCCUCACCUGUGGGAAGAACGUAACCCUGGAAGCACCUGCCCCAUGGCUUUGGGGGCUCCCUCCUGUUUCCGUUCUCUGCAGAGGUGGCUCUUAGUGUCUGUGUGUGAGGGUUCUGAUGAUUGGAAUGGUUGGUGCCAUGUCUUAGAGCUGCAUGUUUUUAAGGUGCCAGGGAUUGAACCCAGGGCCUCAUGCACACUAAGCAUGUGCUCUACCACUGAGCUACACACCAAGCUCGAAAGCUGCAUUUCCUGUCCAGCAUGCCGUGUGGUUUACUGGGCCUAUCUUUUGCCUGGGGAAGGGGAGGGUUGCUGUUUGGCAAAUGAGCAGGAUCUGGAAUUCUUCCCCAACCCAGACACAGGAAAACCAGCAUUGUGAGAGGUAGUGACACCCUUGCUGAUGUGACGUUGGUGGGCCACCAGGGUGGGAGCCCAGAUGGCAGGACCCCUGGGCACCACAUGGCAGCAGACAGGGCACAGAGGAGGGGAGCCCAUCCCCGGGGGCCUGGCCGGUCCAGCAGAGUCUGGCUGGAUUCGGUUACAGAGGACCCCAGUGUGCACUGACUCAGUGCGUGUGCAUUUCCUUUGUUCGUCUCCUCCAGGAAUUUUAGUGCCCUUUUGUGUUUGUUUGAAAUGCCAGCCUCCUCAGCGAGCCUAGCAGGAAGUGAGGACGGUCUCAUUUUUGUCUCUGCAGAGGCUGGGGACAGGGGUGGGGACUGCAUGCUCUUGGAGCCAGCCCAGGGGUGACAGCAUGGCAUUUGUGACAGUUCUGUGGUUUUCUCUAAGGGGUGAUGGGCAGUGGGUGCUGUGCCUCCCAGGGGCCGUGCCUGCACUGGGAUCACCAACCUGAAUAAGACUGAUGGCCAGGUUCGAAGUGCUGCUCAGCAAGGGGCCGCUAAGCACCUGUGCAGGCCCAGACCAGAGCAGGCUGCUGGGGUAAACAGGCAUCUGACGCGGUCCUGCUCCACCUUCCUGGGGAAGCGUGCAGAGGAGAUUCUACACUGCAAGCCAGCUGCUUCCCCGUGGGCAUACUUUUGUGGUAUCUGCAGGCAUUGAUCAUUUACAGGUUAGGCACCAGCUAACCCCACUUUCCCAAUUCCCCCCAGGGCAGCGAUCUGUAAAAGUAUUUUAGUGGCAAUUGGAAACAGGAGAGUUGGAAGAUGCCUUUGGGUCGCUGGUGUGCGAAAAGUUCCUGGAUGCUUGAACGGCUUACAGGGCAGCAGCCUUGAAAUUGCACACUGCUGAAAAUUCCGGGACAUAUGGUCACUCUGAUGUGCUAAUGUUAGCAAUCAAGAUAUUUAAUUAUGCAGAAAAACUCAUUUCCCUACCCACUACAGGUUACAGAGAGCCUGUAUUUCUCAGGAGGAGGGUCUUGCACAGCUUAAUUCGGACAAGCAGAUAGAGAGUCAUUAUCCCUCAUUAGUUUAUGAGCUAAUUAAGUUUUUUAUCUGGUCACAAUUUCAUCUGGCAGUCCCUUUCAGUUGCUGCCCAUCUAGCUGUGUUCUCCAGGCCUCACUGUGUGCCUGGCCUGGUACAGGGAACUAAACGGAAAUACGACCGAAUCCCUGCCGUGUGCCAGCCUCUUGGGUAGUGCCACAGGCUCACGGGGAAUCCUUUUAUUUCCUGGGCAACAUUUACUGAACACCUACUAUGUGCAGAUCUAGGGGCCCAAGGAGACACCAAUAAAAAUGACCCCAG